rnacentral:tRNA from 2 species
GCCCCUGUAGCUCAGAGGACAGAGCAGUGGUUUCCUAAACCAUGUGUCGGGGGUUCGACUCCCUCCAGGGGCGCCU